ACUGGUGCCCUGGGGGAGGGAAAUGACAACCUGAGGACGCCCUGGAGGUGUUGGAUCUGACUAAGGCAGUAAAACCACCAGUUUCACACAUCUGAAGACACAGGGCUGGGGGAAGGGGCCAGGAGGUAGAAGGAAGAAUUGUUCUUGUUGACACAAGCAGAGAAAGAAUGGAAGAAAAGCAAAGGACCCCCCCAAAAAAACCACCAGCCCCAAUCUGGACUUUGGGCGGGAGGGAAGAGUGCUUGGGAGGACCUCCCGUUCAACACAGGAAGUGAGACCCAGAAAAGCAUCAGGACUAGGGCAGGUCUGCCCACACAUGGCAAGGGCAGAGCCAGCAACCAAACCAGGUCUGGACUCCUCCCUCUAGCAUGCCUUCCAAAGCUUAACAUCACACACCCCAGGUUGGACAAACACUGAGCUGUUAAGCAGCUAAUACAUAUGCCUGAUGCAGAAGCCACAGCUCAGGUGAAAAUCGUGAACCUACAGGGGAGGGAUCUCCUUCAAGACAGUUUGGGUGGUUGUCAGGUCAUCCGCCUGCCCUCCAGGGCCACUGCAAAUGGUGUCUUGCUGUCUAAGAGAGUCCCGCAGAGGAGGUAUAUGAACCAAUUCUCUCUUUGGCUUAGGCUGGGUUGUACUGAGUUCUCUCCCUUGCGACCCAAAGAGCCCUAACUGCUGCAGUGACUUAGAGUUUUAUCUUAUAUGAAAGAUCCUGUAGGCUUCUCUACCGGAUUGGUCAAGAGAGCUUUCCAAACCUGAACCAAAGAAGAUAAAAUUGUGAAAUUGGCUUGAAAACUUUAUUUUCGCCUCCCUCGAUUCAAAGUGGAAGGGCUGGGCGGGAGUUAGCGGAGUGCUUCCUCCCAGGACAGCUGCGGGUCCCAGCGCAGAUCGGACUCUCCUCCUCGGCGCCAGCUCAGCUCGGGAAUGAAGUCUUCACGUGGAGAUCCACGGGAAUGGUUAUUUUUAGCACCCCCAGCCACAGAGCCCAGCAGGCCCGCAGAGGCCCUAAUGACGUACCCAGUUGGACAAGUGGAGAUCACAUCUCCUUCGGCAAAGAUACAUUUGAAGCAUUAAAAAAAAAAAAAAAAAAGGUAGAUCGGAGAGGGGGGGUGAGGUGAGACGCGGGCUGCAUGGCCCUGAUGCUUCUGUGCCCAGCCAGGGCUGCCCACUAGAAAUACAAUUCAUUGAAAGAUUA